rnacentral:ncRNA from 2 species
UUAAGUAUAUGAUGUUAUAUAAACUUUAUAUGUUCCGACAAAUAAAUUUACUUGAUUUUUAAUAUGUUUUAUUCAUGCAUAUGGAUUUUAUUUUAUUAGAUGAAUAUAUAUAAGUUUUUGCGUGAUAAAUUUUUUUAAAAAAAUAAUUUUUUAUUCUUAGUUUCUAAUUUUAAUUAUUUAUGAAAUAUAUUAUUUAUUUAUAAUAAAGAUUCAUAACAAAAAUUGUGCCAGCAGUUGCGGUUAUACAAUUGUGGAUUUUAAAUCUUUUUAGUUUAUAUUAAAUUUAUGGUUUAAUAUUUAUUUUUAUAAUUUUUUAGUGAAAUAUUAAUUAUAAUUAUAUUAUUUUAUAUUAAAAUAUAAGAAAGUUAGAUUUAGACUAGGAUUAGAUACCCUAUUAUUAUAACUGUAAAACUAUAACUUAAUCAUUAAUAGAUAUGAUCUUUAAAUUUAAAGAAUUUGGCGGUAAUUUAGCUAUUCAGAGGAACCUGUCCUUUAAUUGAUAAUCCACAAUGAAUUUUACUUUUAUUAGGUUUAUAUAUCUCUAUCAUUGAAUGUCUUUUUAAGGUUUAAAUUUUCUAAAUGGUUUUUUAACCUAAAUGUUAGGUCAAGGUUUAAUAAUAUAAAAGUAGAGAUGGGUUACAUUGUUAUUAUAUGGGGAAUUAUACAUGGAAAUAUAUAUGAAUUUGGAUUUGAUAGUAAAUCACUUUAGAAUAAGUUGUUGAUAUUAGCUCUAGAUUAUGCACACAUCGCCCGUCGCUCCCAACAUAUGUUGGGAUAAGUCGUAACAAAGUAGAUCUAUUGGAAAAUGGAUCUAGAAUGAUUAU